UACGUAGGGUCCGAGCGUUGUCCGGAAUUACUGGGCGUAAAGAGCUCGUAGGUGGUUUGUCGCGUUGUUCGUGAAAACUCACAGCUUAACUGUGGGCGUGCGGGCGAUACGGGGCAGACUUGAGUACUGCAGGGGAGACUGGAAUUCCUGGUGUAGCGGUGAAAUGCGCAGAUAUCAGGAGGAACACCGAUGGCGAAGGCAGGUCUCUGGGCCGAUACUGACGUGAGGAGCGAAAGCGUGGGGAGCGAACAGG
rnacentral:rRNA from 1 species